AGGAAAAGCUAAUGAUCAAGGGCGUGCAGGGAAAGCAAGAGACCGGCAGCACAGUCCAUUUCCCUGGAGGGAGGAGCGGGCAAAGGAAACAGCCUGGACGUCACACGGGCUUUUGGUUGCUGCGUUCCCUUUACACCCCACCAUUCUUUCUCUGUAUCAGUAGGACUCCUUCACCUUACUCUUCGUUUAAUGAAUUAUCACAAUAAACUAAGGCUUAUUAAUAAGCCUCUCCACUUUUUUCUUUCUUUUUUUUAAUGUUUUCUUUUUUAAAAUAGAGGCUUACUUGUAGCUCUAGCUAUCCUGAAACUUGCUAUGUAGACCAGACUAGACUUAAUCUUUCCUCCUUUUUUGCUUGUUGCGGUUUUUCAUCACUUUGACCCCAUAGGACCGUACUAACCCAUUGCAAUUAGAAGUAGAAAAAAAGAAUGUGUUAUGACAAGAAUUCCCAAGACUCAGGAGUUGCUGACUUGGCUGCUCACACAGUCUGGUGGCAUCCAUGCAGGACAGAUUUCUUUCUUUCGUGCUGUCCUCUUUAGCACAUGCUUCGUCCCGUUGGCUGGCUCCCUUGAUGACAGCGAUAGUUAGGAAAGGCAUCUGCGAUGAGCUAUGUAGAAAAGAGCCCCGUGGUUACCAAGUGGGAGAGGGUAAGAGGCACUCCUUUCCCCACUGUUUACAGCUGCUACUCAGGUCCUUCUCUGUCGUAUGACAAAUGUGGGCUUCUUCCGGGCUGGUCUGGAUCCAUCGCCUUCGGGUUGUGGGCUGGAUAUCCACACUUCAUCUGUUUUACACCACCCAGCUGUAACCUUCUGUCUUGCUGUCACCAUUCAGAACAUGCUCAUGUCUCUUCUGUAGGAGUACAGCCGUUUGUAAAACACCCCAGUGUUGCUUCGCCAUUCACCCUCCACUCCUCGCAGCCAAACCCCUUGAAAGAGCUUUUCCUAUUCCAUGUCUUGUUUCCUCCCCUCUCACCAACUCAGCUAACUUGCUCCUGCCAAGCCGCCUGAUUGCUAAGUCUGAUGGCUGCUUCUCCGCCCCCUUCUGUAAACCUCUCUCCUCUCCUCUAAAGCCCUGGCCGCCCCGUGCAAUCAUCUUCUGUGCCUUUCUGGCUCCACAUUCUGUUCUGUCUCUACCUGUUCUGACACUGCUGCUUCCUAUCUCUGUGCAUCUUCCUGGCGUUGCUGUUCCUGCGUGGUCUGUGGUCCGCUGCCUGGAAAAUCCUAUCUACUCCCAUAGCUUCAGCCGGCACCCAUAUGCUGAUGAUUCCCAGUCACGACCUUCCAAACUUCUGCUGCUAAGACCCUUACAUCCAACUGUUUUUUAAUGUCUCCAGCCAGAUGUCUUACAGACUCUUAAGCCUUAGCCUCUAAGAAUUAGUCAACUGUUCCUCCCCCCAACCCUCUUUUGCUUUUCUACUACAAACCAAAGUCUAUAUAACUCAUCUUAGCGGGUAGCAUCCCUCACUGUCUGCCUAACAUCUCAAGUCAUAACCAGGAACUCCUUACUCUUCACUCCUCUUGUCCAGUCUGUCACCAAGGGCUUCCGAUUAUACUUUAACCUUGAGCUGUUUUAUUUCCCUCCACCUCUUCCGUAAUUAUCUUGGUCCUCGAUGCCACUUCCUCCCGCCUUGCUUCCUGGCAUCAGCUCCUCCCCUGACUCCUGCCUGCUCUCACCCAUUUUUAUCUGAAUAUACCUGGAUUCCAUUCAUCCUGCUGACAAAAGAAUGGAGUAGACAAGGAGGAUUUUGAAAUCUCAUUUUAAAAUUAAUAGAGAUGGGUGUGUGUGUCUCUAUAUAUAUAUAUGCCUACUGUAUGUAUACAGAAUAUGCAAAUUUUAAGACUCACUUCUCCCACAUUUGAGCUGCUGUCACCCUGGGGGUGGAAUCUGGCAGCUGUUCCAUCAUCCAUAAACAGCCUUACUGAGCUCAUUAAGAUAGGACAGGAAGGACAAGCCUAGAUCCAUGGAAGCACACCUUGGAGACCGCUUGCACAGGGUUUCUAAAUCAGAUUCGCCUUAUAAAUGAGGAAAUUGGUUGGAAAAAAUCUAGCCUUAAUUAGGUCAAAAUAGCAGCUUAAAUGACAAGGUAUUUUUUUUUGAGAUUAUAGUUUGGCAUCAUAGAUGAUUUUCUAAUGUCCUCUCUCUAGUAAAGUUGGGAAAGGAAUAAGAGAGAGGCUGCGGCAUGAAGAACCACACAACCAAAGGGCUGGGACCCCAGGCUGAACUGAAAAACAGAAAUAAAUCAUCUGUGACCCUGAGCUGAAACCCUAGCAGGAAAAGGUCCCGCUGGACUAACUGUGCUGGGAUUCGGCCAACAGUCUAGGACAUUGCUUAUUAAAACACGACUGCACCUCAAAAUGUUCUCCUGCCUUUAAAUUAUAGAUAAAAACCAACCUGAUACAAUUCCACGCAUGCACACACACACACACACACACACACACACACACUAUAUGACCUUGGAUGGCUUCAAAAGUGUUGUAUAAUCCAAGCUAGCACCAACUUAGGGCAAUUCUCUGGUCUCCGUAUUCCAUGGAUCAAAGGCAUGUGCCACAACACAUGACUCUACCUUUUUACAAAUCAAGGGAUAACCCCAGCACUCAGGAAGCAGAGGCAAGAGGAGCCAUGAGUUUGAAACCAACCUGGAGCGCAUAGCAAGUUCAAAGCCAGCC
rnacentral:lncRNA from 1 species